rnacentral:misc_RNA from 1 species
GAUGAAGAACGCAGCGAAAUGCGAUAAGUAGUGUGAAUUGCAGAAUUCAGUGAAUCAUCGAAUCUUUGAACGCACAUUGCGCCCUUUGGUAUUCCUUAGGGCAUGCCUGUUCGAGCGUCAUUUAAACCUUCAAGCUCAGCUUGGUGAUGGGUGACUGUCCUCCCCUCGCGGGGGGACUCGCCUCAAAAACAUUGGCGGCCGGUACAUUGGCUUCGAGCGCAGCAGAAACGCGGUCUCGAGUCCGGUGGAUCGGCUCCCAUAAGUCUAUUCUUUUAUUUUGACCUCGGAUCAGGUAGGGAUACCCGCUGAACUUAAGCAUACAAUAAGCGGAGGA